rnacentral:miRNA from 1 species
GCGGUGGUCUGUGGUUG